AAGGUAGCAUAAUCACUUGUCUCUUAAUUGGGGGCUGGAAUGAAGGAGGCGACGAAAUUUAGGCUAUUUAGUUUAUAGAAUAAAAUUAACAUAAAGGUUAAAAGGCCUUUAUUCACCAAGGGGACGACAAGACCCUAUAAAACUUUACUAUAAAGAAAAUUAUUUAGGUAAGAUUAGAUCUAUAGUUUAACUGGGGCGGUUGAUAUAAAAACUAUAUAAAUAAUAAUAUUUUAAAUAAAUUUAGAGAGCUCUAAUAGGAAAUGAACAAGUUACUUUAGGGAUAACAGCAUAAUUCUCCCAGAGAGUCCUAAUCGGCGGGAGAGUUUAUGACCUCGAUGUUGAAUUGGGGUAUCUGGUGUAAGUAGAGAUAUAUUAAGAUAGUCUGUUCGACUAUUAAAACCCC
rnacentral:rRNA from 1 species